AAAUCCCCUUUAGUUGAAUUUUGUCUAAGGUCAUGUUAGAGUUUUACCAAGGGUGGAGUGUAAGCAGUGGGGGCUCGGCUGGGGUCAAACGUCCAUGAGGUGAGGUGGGGGUAUUAAGGUGGUCCUGGGAGCUCAACACACUGCAACUUAGGAGGACACAAGCAAGGUGUGAAGAGCUGAUGAGUGAACGAGGUGCAGCUGGCCCGGGGAUCCUGUGUCGUGUGUGUUAAUGUUAAUAAAGCAUCCUGACAGG